rnacentral:lncRNA from 1 species
AUCGUGUCACUGAGCAGAUGGAAAAUGGCUUAUUUCUUUGGUUGUUGGGAAAAUGCAUCCAGUAGAAGCUGCCCAGAUGGGUCAUACAAUAUGUGUCAUUGGGAGGAUUUGCAUCUAUCUCUUCUAGCUUGUAGUCCAGCUCUCAAUCUACCAUGCCAAUCUGAACUGAAUAAUAUUAAAUCAAAUAGAGAAGUUCUACACAGAAUUACAGAAUCUCAGAGUUGAAGGAGAUCUUCAUAGCUAUCUUGUAACUUAACCCCUCCAUAUCAGAUCAAAACCUUGCUGUAAGACCCCCAGUGAGGUGAAACUCCUACCUCCUGCAACAUCUCAUUCAAUUUUGGGGAAACUCUUAUGGUUAGCAAGUUUUUCUUUACCUAACUUUACCUCUUUGGAACUUUUAAUGAUUGCUCCUAGUUUUGCCUUCUGGGUUCUAGUAGGAUGAGCUGAGUCCCUUUCCCAGGUAACAAUAUUUUUCAUAUCCCUCCUAAAAGUUCCUGUCUCUGAGAGAAAACUUCCAUUCCCAGUUAGUCCAACUGGGAUUCUCAAAAAGCCAUGAUUUCAGGAAGGCACUUUUCACCAGUCCUGCUUGUGGUCCCCUGGAGACUCCAGUUGAUCAAUGCCCUUGCUAAAAUAUGGUCUGUACAGUGAAAUAUACCUCUGUCUUCUUGGUCAAGAAGUGGCGGCCCAAUAUGAAGGCUGGAAUCUUGCCUAAGUCCUCAGCUAUGACCGCUGUUCAUAAUUUUGCUUAGUUGUGUUUCUUAGUUAUAAGCAAGAGUUCAAUUUUGGACAAGAAGUUGGGAAAGGAGGAAGGAGACAUUUACAGAAAUGAUGAUGAUGUGAAAACAAAAACCAUUAACCCAACUUAAUUAGAAAAACAUUAAAGACUGUGUCUAUGAGAG